UACGAAGGGGGCUAGCGUUGCUCGGAAUUACUGGGCGUAAAGGGCGCGUAGGCGGCGCUGUUAGUCAGGCGUGAAAGCCCCGGGCUCAACCUGGGAACCGCGCUUGAGACUGGCAUGCUCGAGUUCGGGAGAGGAUGGUGGAAUUCCCAGUGUAGAGGUGAAAUUCGUAGAUAUUGGGAAGAACACCGAUGGCGAAGGCAGCC
rnacentral:rRNA from 1 species